CCUUGAAGACUGUAAAGUCACAAAGCCCAUAGUAUUUCAGGGAUGCGUUGUCUAACCUGGAGGAAAGAAGUCUCAUCUUUGCCACACAGAGGGAAAAGGAUCCUGAGCUCAAGAGACCUUCACGGAAUAGGAAAGGCAAGAAUGCUGUAGACAACAUUAUGAAAAAGCUGAAGCCUCAUCUCAUCAUGGCUAUUUACUUGUCUUAGAUUGUAAAUGAAGACAAAGUGGAGAAUGUCAAGCCUACUCUACAGAUCCCCCAAAAGACAUACUAAAGCACUUCUGAUGACCCAUCGAACUUAAUUAUUUCAUGAGCGCCUAUCACUUGCAAGUUCUUCUGUUAAUUGAGGAUGGAUGGGAGGACGAAUAACUUAGGGUCCCUGCUGUCCAGAAAUUUCACAGGGUAGAUAAUGAAUAGUACAUAGGAAUGGAACAGAUAGUUUGGUCUGCAACUGUUUGCAUGGUAGCUAAGUUCUUGGGUGUAAGACAGAUCCUAUUCCAAUCUCAAUUCUACUGGCUACUUUCUGGGUGUGUAUGGGCAAGUGAACCUCAUUUUUCUUAUCUAUAAAUGAGGAGGAUGGUGACAAUA